rnacentral:tRNA from 1 species
AAGGCUUUAUGUUAAUUUUAAACAAAUAGCCUUCAAAGCUAUAAAUAUAAGUAUAAUCUUUUAAGCCUUA